GAUGAACGCUAGCGGGAGGCCUAACACAUGCAAGCCAAGCGGGAUUUGAGACUAGCUUGCUAGUCUUAAUGAGAGCGGCGUACGGGUGCGGAACACGUGUGCAACCUGCCUUUAUCUGGGAGAUAGCCUUUCGAAAGGAAGAUUAAUAUCCCAUAAUAUAAUGAUUGGCAUCAAUUAUUAUUGAAAGCUCCGGCGGAUAGAGAUGGGCACGCGCAAGAUUAGAUAGUUGGUGAGGUAACGGCUCACCAAGUCGAUGAUCUUUGGGGGGCCUGAGAGGGUGAUCCCCCACACUGGUACUGAGACACGGACCAGACUCCUACGGGAGGCAGCAGUGAGGAAUAUUGGACAAUGGGUGAAAGCCUGAUCCAGCCAUCCCGCGUGAAGGAUUAAGGACCUAUGGUUUGUAAACUUCUUUUCUACAGGGAUAAACCUACUCUCGUGAGAGUAGCUGAAGGUACUGUAGGAAUAAGCACCGGCUAACUCCGUGCCAGCCGCCGCCGUAAUAC
rnacentral:rRNA from 1 species